rnacentral:rRNA from 1 species
AUACGGAGGGCGCGAGCGUUAUUCGGAAUCAUUGGGCGUAAAGCGCGUGUAGGCGGCUGGGUAAGUCGGAUGUGAAAGCCCGGGGCUCAACCCCGGAAUUGCAUUCGAAACUGCCCGGCUAGAGUCUCGGAGAGGAGGGCGGAAUUCCCGGUGUAGAGGUGAAAUUCGUAGAUAUCGGGAGGAACACCAGUGGCGAAGGCGGCCCUCUGGACGAUGACUGACGCUGAGACGCGAAAGCGUGGGGAGCAAACAGGAUUAGAAACCCCGGUAGUCC